AGCGUGUUUUUAAGAGGAGUGGACCAGGCAGCCUGUGCCUUCAACACAGCAACACCUUGGAUCUCUUCACAUUUCAUUCCUCUUUCCAUCAUAAUAAGAGACAAUGGCACUAUGUAACGUUCCUAAGACCAUAAUUACUUUUUCUCUGCUUUUUCUGAGUGGUUAAGGUGUUUGCUAGAAUUGAAAGUAUAUGUAUAUUUUUUCAGGUGAGCUGUGCUGGUCUGGGAAUGAAACGGACUAUAAUAAUUAUAUAGUGAGAAUAAUCUUUUGUUUGUGUGUUGUCCUUUUCUGGUAAGUGUGGAGUGAGUUUUCCUGUGUUUCCUGAGCCAGUGCUUGGUGUGGCCUGCCUGUCCCUUAGGGGAGGUGACCUGACCCACACCACACCACACCACCUCACACACACACACACACACACACACACACACACACACA